rnacentral:rRNA from 1 species
GACGAACGCUGGCGGCGUGCUUAACACAUGCAAGUCGAACGGAAAGGCCCUGCUUUUGUGGGGUGCUCGAGUGGCGAACGGGUGAGUAACACGUGAGUAACCUGCCCUUGACUUUGGGAUAACUUCAGGAAACUGGGGCUAAUACCGGAUAGGAGCUCCUGCUGCAUGGUGGGGGUUGGAAAGUUUCGGCGGUUGGGGAUGGACUCGCGGCUUAUCAGCUUGUUGGUGGGGUAGUGGCUUACCAAGGCUUUGACGGGUAGCCGGCCUGAGAGGGUGGCCGGCCACAUUGCGACUGAGAUACGGCCCAGACUCCUACGGGAGGCAGCAGUGGGGAAUAUUGCACAAUGGGCGGAAGCCUGAUGCAGCAACGCCGCGUGCGGGAUGACGGCCUUCGGGUUGUAAACCGCUUUCGCCUGUGACGAAGCGUGAGUGACGGUAAUGGGUAAAGAAGCACCGGCUAACUACGUG